rnacentral:lncRNA from 1 species
CAUCUGCCUUCUGAGUAUAACUAUUACACUCUCAAUGCGAACCGGAAGGCCUUCCAUAGCAGUUUACAUGAUCUUUUUUUUUGCCCAUCAUUUUUCAAUCCACCUCUUCUGUUUUCUCUUAUCUUUUCUUCUCCACUCUCCUGAUUCAACAUUCAAGUAUUUAUUAAAUAAAAAGUUCACUAGAUUGUCAGAAGCCAGUAAUUUUCACCAGAAUUAAUGUAUACUUCAUAUUAUUACAUUGUACUAACUUUCAAGACAAGCUCCAGGCAGUUUGAGGAAAUAUCUGCCAUUAAUUCCUUGAUACGGACAAGGAUGCCAAAAUCAAAAUGAGUGUUAUGGAUAUAAAAUUUCCCUGGACUCUUCAUUGUUUGUUCGUUCCAGUGUGUUAAUUUCUACUUUGAUCUAUGUGAUUGAACUAUUUGUUAGAGCUUAGCAAAGGAAUAAGAGAUAUGAUUAUUGUGGUUGUUAUUGUAUCCAUUAUUGUCUUCCAUACUGUCACCUCUGUAGUAGUGGACAUAAGUGUCGUCACCAUAGUAAUACUGAUAAUUAUUAUUGUUGUCAUAAGUACUGUAACCUGUAUAACUGCAAUUAUAAGUGGGUUGGAUCGAGCGGAUAACCACAGUACUGAUUGGUAUUGGUUUCAUGAGUGUUGUCCUCAGGAAUAGUAACAAAGGUACUUGUGGUUAGAACUACGGUUAGUAGUGGGAGUGGG